GGGGCAACCUGGUGGCGAGUGGCGAACGGGUGAGUAAUAUAUCGGAACGUGCCCUGGAGUGGGGGAUAACGUAGCGAAAGUUACGCUAAUACCGCAUACGAUCUCAGGAUGAAAGCAGGGGACCGCAAGGCCUUGUGCUCCUGGAGCGGCCGAUAUCUGAUUAGCUAGUUGGUGGGGUAAAAGCCUACCAAAGCGACGAUCAGUAGCUGGUCUGAGAGGACGACCAGCCACACUGGAACUGAGACACGGUCCAGACUCCUACGGGAGGCAGCAGUGGGGAAUUUUGGACAAUGGGGGCAACCCUGAUCCAGCAAUGCCGCGUGUGUGAAGAAGGCCUUCGGGUUGUAGAGCACUUUUGUCAGGAACGAAACGGUUGGGGCUAAUAUCCCUAGCUAAUGACGGUACCUGAAGAAUAAGCACCGGCUAACUACGUGCCAGCAGCCGCGGUAAUACGUAGGGUGCAAGCGUUAAUCGGAAUUACUGGGCGUAAAGCGUGCGCAGGCGGUUAUGUAAGACAGAUGUGAAAUGCCCGGGCUUAACCUGGGGACUGCAUUUGUGACUGCAUGGCUAGAAUCUGGCAGAGGGGGGUAGAAUUCCACGUGUAGCAGUGAAAUGCGUAGAGAUGUGGAGGAACACCGAUGGCGAAGGCAGCCCCCUGGGCUAAGAUUGACGCUCAUGCACGAAAGCGUGGGGAGCAAACAGGAUUAGAUACCCUGGUAGUCCACGCCCUAAACGAUGUCUACUAGUUGUCGGGUCUUAAUUGACUUGGUAACGCAGCAAACGCGUGAAGUAGACCGCCUGGGGAGUACGGUCGCAAGAUUAAAACUCAAAGGAAUUGACGGGGACCCGCACAAGCGGUGGAUGAUGUGGAUUAAUUCGAUGCAACGCGAAAAACCUUACCUACCCUUGACAUGGAAGGAAUCCCUGAGAGAUUGGGGAGUGCUCGAAAGAGAACCUUUACACAGGUGCUGCAUGGCUGUCGUCAGCUCGUGUCGUGAGAUGUUGGGUUAAGUCCCGCAACGAGCGCAACCCUUGUCAUUAGUUGCUACGCAAGAGCACUCUAAUGAGACUGCCGGUGACAAACCGGAGGAAGGUGGGGAUGACGUCAAGUCCUCAUGGCCCUUAUGGGUAGGGCUUCACACGUCAUACAAUGGUACAUACAGAGGGCCGCCAACCCGCGAGGGGGAGCUAAUCCCAGAAAGUGUAUCGUAGUCCGGAUUGGAGUC
rnacentral:rRNA from 1 species